CAACCGGGAAAGAAGGGGAGGGAAGGAGGGGGAGGCUCUGCGUUGGCCACAUUUGCAUGAGGCCAGCCGAAGCCAGAUGGUCAGGGUGGUGGAGUGAGGCUGGCCCACCGCAGCUGGCGAGCAAACGAGCAAACGUGAAAAGUGGGGAUUCAGCUGGAUCUACUCUGUGACUCCGCAUCCAGACUGCAAGAUGGGGAGACUGCUGGAAGAAUCACAUGAGAUCAUGAUAUGGGCUGAACUGUAUCCCCCAAAAUUCAUGUAUUGAAAUCUUAAUCUCCAGGUCCUCAGAAUGUGACUAUAUUUGGAAAUAGAGUCUUUUUUAUUUUUUUAUUUUCAUUUUUAUUUUUGAAACAGAGUCUCGCUCUGUCACCCAGGCUGGAGUGCAGUGGCGUGAUCUCGGCUCACCGCAACCUCCACCUACCAGGUUCAAGUGAUUAUCCUGCCUCAGCCUCCCAGGUAGCUGGGACUACAGGCACGCACCACCAUGCCCGGCUAAUUUUUGUAUUUUUAGUAGAGACGAGGUUUCACCAUGUUGGCCAGGAUGGUCUCGAACUCCUGACCUCAGGUGAUCUGCCCACCUUGGCCUCCCAAAGUGAUUGGAUUACAGGCGUGAGCCACCAUGCCCAGCCUGGAGAUAGGGUCUUUAAGGAGGUAAUUAAGGUAAAAUGAGGUCAUGGCAGUGGACCCUAAUCCAAUGGCUGGUGUCCUCAUAUGAAGAGGUGACUAGGACACAGAGGUGCACAGAGAGAUGACAAUCUGAAGACACAGAGAUGAAAAAGAAGACAGCCAUCCUCAGAAGACAUGAACUCUGUUGACAUCUUGAUCUCCGACGUCUAGCCGCCAGAAUUGUGAGAAAAUCAAUUUUUCUUAUUUAAGCCACUCAGUUUGUGGUAUUUGCCACAAUGGUCCCAGCGAACUAACACAGAUUUCACAAGCAAAACACUGACCCUCAUGCCUGGCCCAAAAUAGAUGCCCAGUAAACAGGAGCUGUUCACAGGGUUUAGUCAGGAAGACAACUAAACUAAGAUAUGUGAAAUCUUCGAUGGGGUAAAAGGUCCACCUCCUCCUCCAACAUUGCCGUCAACCUCUGUAUUUUAUUUUAUUUUAUUUUAUUUUUGAGAUGGAAUCUCGUUCUGUCACCCAGGCUAGAGUGCAGUGGUGUAAUCUCAGCUCACUGCAACCUCCGCCUCCUGGGUUCAAGCG
rnacentral:lncRNA from 10 species